rnacentral:rRNA from 1 species
CGGAGGGUGCAAGCGUUAUCCGGAUUCACUGGGUUUAAAGGGUGCGUAGGUGGGUAAGUAAGUCAGUGGUGAAAUCUCCGGGCUUAACCCGGAAACUGCCAUUGAUACUAUUUGUCUUGAAUACUGUGGAGGUCAGCGGAAUAUGUCAUGUAGCGGUGAAAUGCAUAGAUAUGACAUAGAACACCAAUUGCGAAGGCAGCUGGCUACACAAAUAUUGACACUGAGGCACGAAAGCGUGGGGAUCAAACAGGAUUAGAUACCCUGGUAGUCCACGCCCUAAACUAUGGAUACUCGACAUUUGCGAUAAACUGCAAGUGUCUGAGCGAAAGCAUUAAGUAUCCCACCUGGGAAGUACGAUCGCAAGAUUG